UGCUAUUCUUCGCACGCGCGCGCGCUCAGCUUCCAGGCCGCAGCCCAGCACCACAGCGCACCUUGCCCAGCGUGUUUUUCCCGAACACAUUAGCUGCCGAACCCAGCCACAAUCAGAUCGGCCAAUUCAAUUGAUCCCUGGACUCCAUGCGUGAAUUGAUGCCCUAUAUAAGAUAUCCAGCUCCUCCUCUUUCGAUUUUCACCUUUUUGUAGGUCCCCAUGCACUAUCUCGCCUGUUCCAGAGAAUCCCGAUCUUGCCGGAGUACAUCCGCCCGAAGCUUCUACCGCAGUCGAUUCCAGCCACCCUCUGCUGUCGUCCUCGCUCGCCACAGACGCCGCUGAGGACGUCUUCGAGACCACAGCAAAGCUCCUCGCCCCGUACGCUACCCUCCGGAGUCUGGAUACCACCGGAGCAGGCGCCACCGUCGCCGCCCGAGCCGCCGCGCCGCCGUUUUGUCCAAGUCCGGCUGCCCUGCCCUUGUUUCUCCGCAAAUCAGAAUUAAGCAUUAGAGUACUUCAACACUGCUCAAGGCAAGUUUGCACUUUUGAUUAUGCUCAUCCUAUAUUUCUGCUAUGCAUGUGUGGUUGUUGUGAUAUGUUAUAUGUUUGGUUGAUCGUUAUGUUCUGUGUUGUCAUGUUUUGGUAUUGAUUGUGUUAUGUGAUGGUGUGGGUAGCUAGCGAUGGUAGACAUGGGUAUGUGUCGAGUGAUGCCUGGAAGUGGUGAGUCUUCAUAGCUAUAGGCUCGGGACUUUUUCUCAGGUGAAUGCGUCAAUGGCUGAGCGCUCUAUUGUCCCUAGAGAAUGCGCCAUGGUUGAGCGCACUUGAGGUUUGGGGGCUUAAAUCAGGUGAAUGCGUUGAUGACUGAGCGCUCUAUUGUCCCUAGAGAAUGCCCCACGACUGAGCGCACUUGAGACAUCUUGAAGAUCUUUGUCAUCCAUGUUUGUGUGCACCUUGCCAAUGUAGUGGAGGUAGGUGGAGACAUUCUUCUGCAAACCAACUUGAGUGUUUUCUUUGUCAUACUUUACUUGUGGAUGUAGGUUUUGCUAUAUCAUUAUGUGUGAUUUUCCAAUACAUUGAAUGUAUUGACCCUUGUGGCUGCAACUUAUCAUGUUGCGGGAUUUUCAGAUGAUCAAUGAGAUACAGUAGGGUCACGAGUCUUCACUCAGCAUUUUCGCCAGUGGGCAUUGAUGGGACUCACUGUUUAAUUAUGCUACAUUUCCGCUGUUAUUAUUGAAUAAAGUUAGCUAUGUGCUACUCAGUUUGUAAUACUUUAUGAAUUCUGGAUCAUACGUUGUUGUAAAUGAUGUACUUGUUAUUUGAUAUUCAUAUGUACUGUGUGUGCUAGCUAGUCGAUCUAGGGACUAGCACGGUGAGCACAGAGACAUCGAA